rnacentral:rRNA from 1 species
AUUGAACGCUGGCGGCAGGCCUAACACAUGCAAGUCGAACGAGUGGCGGACGGGUGAGUAAUGUCUGGGAAACUGCCUGAUGGAGGGGGAUAACUACUGGAAACGGUAGCUAAUACCGCAUAACAUCAUAUGUGCCCAGAUGGGUUUAGCUAGUUGGUGGGGUAACGGCUCACCAAGGCGACGAUCCCUAGCUGGCCUGAGAGGAUGACGAGCCACACUGGAACUGAGACACGGUCCAGACUCCUACGGGAGGCAGCAUUGGGGAAUAUUGGAAAAUGGGCGAAAGCCUGAUGCAGCCAUGCCGCGUGUAUGAAGAAGGCCUUCGGGUUGUAAAGUACUUUCAGCGGGGAGGCGUUACCCGCAGAAGAAGCACCGGCUAACUCCGUGCCAGCAGCCGCGGUAAUUC